CAGCCGCCGCGGUAAUACAGAGGGUGCAAGCGUUAAUCGGAAUUACUGGGCGUAAAGCGUGCGUAGGUGGUGGUUUAAGUCCGUUGUGAAAGCCCUGGGCUCAACCUGGGAAUUGCAGUGGAUACUGGGCGACUAGAGUAAGGUAGAGAAUAGUGGAAUUUCCGGUGUAGCAGUGAAAUGCGUAGAGAUCGGAAGGAACAUCUGUGGCGAAGGCGACUAUCUGGGCCAUUACUGACACUGAGGCACGAAAGCGUGGGGAGCAAACAGGAUUAGAUACCCGCGUAGUCCCUGUCUCUUAUAC
rnacentral:rRNA from 1 species